GGCCGGUUAGCUCAGUCGAUUGAGUGUGGUGUUGAAAACACCGAAGUCGUGGGUUUGAUUCCCGUUCAGUCCC
rnacentral:tRNA from 1 species